AUGACCUGUGGCUGGGGGUGAAAGGCCAAUCAAACCGGGAGAUAGCUGGUUCUCCCCGAAAGCUAUUUAGGUAGCGCCUCGUGAAUUCAUCUCCGGGGGUAGAGCACUGUUUCGGCUAGGGGGCCAUCCCGGCUUACCAACCCGAUGCAAACUGCGAAUACCGGAGAAUGUUAUCACGGGAGACACACGGCGGGUGCUAACGUCCGUCGUGAAGAGGGAAACAACCCAGACCGCCAGCUAAGGUCCCAAAGUCAUGGUUAAGUGGGAAACGAUGUGGGAAGGCCCAGACAGCCAGGAUGUUGGCUUAGAAGCAGCCAUCAUUUAAAGAAAGCGUAAUAGCUCACUGGUCGAGUCGGCCUGCGCGGAAGAUGUAACGGGGCUAAACCAUGCACCGAAGCUGCGGCAGCGACACUGUGUGUUGUUGGGUAGGGGAGCGUUCUGUAAGCCUGUGAAGGUGUGUCGUGAGGCAUGCUGGAGGUAUCAGAAGUGCGAAUGCUGACAUAAGUAACGAUAAAGCGGGUGAAAAGCCCGCUCGCCGGAAGAC
rnacentral:rRNA from 1 species